GGGUUUCACUUGUUCUUUUUUACUAGAAGGGCCACAUAGUUUAGUUGUAGUUUUGGAAAAGAUAUGUUUUAGGAUUUGAAUAGGACCCAAAACUUUUUAUACUUGGCUUCGUACCUUCCUCUUCUCCUCCAUUGCUUGUAUAUUAUUAUUAUCGUCUGCAUGCAUUCCAUGCAUCAUUGACCCUUUUCAUUGUGGAUUGAGUUUGCUCUUAUUUUAUUUAUGUUUUCAGGUGGUAGAG
rnacentral:misc_RNA from 1 species